rnacentral:lncRNA from 1 species
CGCACACGUGGGAAAGUUGAAGCUUUUUGAGAAUGGAGAACCCCGGACGGCCGUGGAGGCCUGAAAACAAGACAGUCCGAAAAAAGGGCCUUCUGUCUACACGCUUUCGAGAAUAGAAUAGACGAGACGGCUGUGAUUGACAAAGUAGGGGGAGGUGAGUCUUGUCUCCUUUCACUUUGUCGUACUCGGAGGAGUGGUGACUAGAGAGUACAUGCCAGACGAAACGACGGUGGCUCCAUACGGGGGAUUGUCGGGUUCUUAUGGGUGCAUUAACUAGAAAUUGGUUGGAAUUGGAAGUAACUGAGAAGGACUUAAUUUGGUACAUGGAUGUUUAUGUAAUGAAGACUUUGGAGUGCUUGUGGAUGGUGUGCCACAUGGGUAGGUUAUUUUCUUGCAUUUAUUCAUGAUUGAGUAUUCUAUUUUUAUUUUGUAUUUGUUUAAAAUUGUAGAAAUAUGACUUGUUUAGUCCACAGCACUAUACAUUUCCCUGAGGCGCCUAGCCUUUAGUUCAUUUGCAAGAGAGAAGGCCUAGAAAGUCAGU